rnacentral:lncRNA from 1 species
CCUGUUUUUAAGGUCUUUCCCCUACGUGGGGAAAGACCUUACUGUUUUUCUAAUGUUUUUUUUUCCAACAUUUUUUCUAAAUGCCCUCCCCCCGUUUCUUUUGAUGUCAUCAAGACCAAAUAUGGACCAUCGGUAGACCUCAUCAUGAAGUAUUACCAGAUGAGGCUGUGUAGGAUUUCAUCAUCCCCUUUAGAAGUUAUCUCCCUUUUAUUGGUUUUUUUCGACAUGCCCCCCCCCCCUCGUUGUUUUUGAAGAUAUCAUGACCUUAUUUGGACAAAAGUUAGAUCUCAUCAUGAUGUGUUACCAUAUGAUGCUGCUAAGGAUUUCAUCAUUCUCUAUGAGAGUUAUGUCCCCUUGAAGCAAUUUCUUUCUUUUACAUUUUUCUCAAAAAGUAUUCAAGAUAGAAUCCAUUUGAAAACGGCAACAUGUACAAGACCAGAUGGCAAUGUUAAUUAACAUAUACAAUCAUUUUGUUGUUCACCCUUAUAAGGAGUUAUUUCCCUUGAAAAAAUAUACACAAUUUUUGAAAAAUUGUAUCUCAAGAACCGGAAGUCGUAAAGACUUGGGACCUACACCAAUAAUCUUAAGUUCAUGUGACCUUUAAUUUGCACCCAAGGUCAAAGGUCACCGAGUGCAAAAAAAAAUUACGCUGCAAUUUCAAGCUUUCAUAUUAAGAAAACGAUAAGAGUUUGCUGCAUACUUACAGCGUAUAAAAUGUUCCUCUCGACGAGCUCUACAUUUUAUACACUGAGCUCAAAAGUGUCCGACUGUCUGUUCAAAAGUUACGACGGGAUGAUUCUUAAAAGUAUAGUAUUGUGUGUAUAUCUUUUUAAAGGUAACAGAUAUCAACCUACUAUAAACUGCAAAGAUGAUCAGUAA